rnacentral:rRNA from 1 species
CCGCUCCUUGAUAAAAAUAUAUAAGGAGUCAGGCCUGCCCAGUGAUAUUUCAACGGCCGCGGUACUCUGACCGUGCAAAGGUAGCAUAAUCACUUGCUUUAUAAUUAAGGGCUAGCAUGAACGGUCCAACAAGAAUGAAACUGUCUCUUUUAAAAUACAUAAAACUUGGUUUCUAGGUGAAGAAACCUAGAUAAAAUUGAUAGACAAGAAGACCCUAUCGAGCUUUAAAACAAUUAGCUAAACAUAACACAAAUUAAAUGUAACUAAAAAUUUUGGUUGGGGCGACCACGGAACAAAUAAAGCUUCCAUAAAAAUCUAAAAACUUAUUAGUAAUGACCCAAAAUAUUUGGUUAAUAAACUUAGUUACCGUAGGGAUAACAGCAUAAUUUUCUUCAAGAGUUCUUAUCGAAAAGAAUGUUUGUGACCUCGAUGUUGGACUAGGAUAUCCAGGACAGAUGUAGAAGUCUCCAACGGUUGGUCUGUUCGACCAAUAAAAUCCU